UACGUAGGGGGCGAGCGUUGUCCGGAUUUACUGGGCGUAAAACGCUUGUAGGUGGCCACGCCAAGUCGGACGUGAAAUCUCCCGGCUUAACUGGGAGGGGUCGUUCGAUACUGGCGGGCUCGAGGCAGGUAGGGGGAAGCGGAAUUCCCGGUGUAGUGGUGGAAUGCGUAGAUAUCGGGGAGGAACAUCAGUGGCGAAGGCGGCUCUCUGGAACGUUCCUGACACUGAGGCACGAAAGCGUGGGGGAGCAAACAGG
rnacentral:rRNA from 1 species